CUGUCAGAAUAUGUAUGUCUAUUUUCUAAUGGACUAGGUGAUUCACACCAGUAUCUCGGACAGCGGUUCGAUUCCGCUCAGCUCCAUAAAUGGGGCUGCAAUGGUUUCGACGGGGUAUCAGGAGAGUGACUGAAGCCUGCUCGGUCAGAGCAAAACCAUAACUGCUAACAACAUCGUUAGUUUCUCCCGUCAAACAGCCCCUGUUGCUGCUUGAUCUUUUAGGAGAUGGGGUCAGGUCAUCCUUAUUACCCAAUUGAUCCAUGGAGCCUGGAAGGGCUC
rfam:Prochlorococcus marinus str. NATL2A, complete genome.